UCACUGGGAGUUCUGUUGUGGCUCAGCGGAAACGAAUCUGACUAAUAUCCAUGAGGAUAUGGGUUUGAUCCCUGGCCUGCUCAGUGGGUUGGGAUCUGGUGUUCCUGUGGUUGUGGUGUAGGCCAGCAGCUGUAGCUCUGAUUCAGCCCCUAGCCUAGGAAUUUCCAUAUGCCACAGACACAGCCCUAAAAGGAAAAAAAAAAAAGCAAGAAAGAAAAUACUCAUUGAACAAUAAGAACUUUUAAAUAUUAUAAAAUUCUGUUCUAGAAUCUCAUCUUAAUGAUACCUACUUCUUAGCUUAAAAACAUUGUCUAAAAGAUGUUAAGUAUUAAUCUUGCAUUUUGCAGCACGCUCACAUUUAUCUCCAAAUAAUGUACAGUGUUUUGGCAGUUAUUUAUCUAGUUAUUUAUAUAUUUAUGUGAUGCCUAUUUCUGAAAUAUUCAGUGCCUUUGACAAGUGUGCUGUGUUGGCAGAAAAUAACGUUUAAGAGAGAAACAAUAUUCUAUUUCACUUGACUACUUCAAUACAACAACUAUAGUAGUAUUUUAUGACUUAAUGAACAACCAUCAGAAGGAAAGAGAAAUAGACCAACCAAUCACGCAAGUUAUCAAGUCACAGAGACUAAAUAAAAACUCUGUGUGGAUUUCUUUUCAAGGUGAAAAAAAAAAAAGAGCUGUUAUCCAAAAGGUGAAAUAAUGAAUUUAGGAGAAACAUACAUUUUAAAAGGCUUGUAACUGAUUUUUAUUUUGCUUUGUAUGUCAGGUUCCUCCUCUAAACUCAGAGCUUCCCUUUUCCUCACAGGAGUCAGUUUGGGCAAAAGGCCAUUGAACUAUGUGGAGAAUCAUUAUUUGAACAAGACAUUUAUCAUCAGGUUUAGAUGGUUUGAUAUGCAGUUAUUCUGAAGACCAGUUAAAUAUCAUACCUAAUGUUCAUAAAACAGACCAAAUUAUAUUCUUACAUGAGUAACAUAUCUUAGUUUCCCAUAUAUGUUUUCUCUUUCAGUUUAUUUUCUUUUCACAAAUGAUAUUAAAAAUGUGCUAAGUUGGUGAACUAGGAUCAAGAUAUGCAUAUAACUGUAUUUCAGCCAGAGAUGUUUCAGCAGGGCAUAUUAUUUGUCAUUAAACUCUGUUUUAAUAUUGUAAUAAGUACAAUAUUUUGACAUAGAGAACAUUUCACAAAUUUUCUCUUUCUUGGGAAAUACUGCCAAUAUUUCUUUGUCACCAUAAUACAGUUAUUUGAGGAAGUGGUGGUAACCUAUGAACUCUCCAUCAAGCUCAUCAGGAAAUUGCUAUAAAGAAGGAAUUGUCAAGUGAUGCCCUUGAUCCCUUAGGGAAGAGUGGGUCUCCUUUUGGGGAAGCUGAGAGAGAUUUAUUUAGGAAGAAGUAUUGAGAAUUGUCUUUUUUCCCCAAUCUCUGCCUGAAUUUUGCUUACUUAUUAUAGAUGCUGUUUUCAUCUUCUGAAAUUGCAUUCCACUUUUAUAAAAGAUUUGGUUUAACUUUAGGGGAUUUUCCUGCAAGGCUUGCUUCCAUUCAAAUUUCCUUAAGAUGUUUUAUUAUCUAUUCUGGUGGCUCUUUCUCUAAUGGUAUCAGGAUGAGCUCUUUCUAAAAGUUUGUAAAUUCAGAUUUAGUAUCCAGUUAAAUGCAGAUGUUAAAUGCAGAUAUGUUCUAGGGUCUUCAUCACAUAAUUCCAGUAUCAAUACAUUUCAUUAACCUUUGAAUUUUUAUUAAACAUUUCUUACCCAGAAAAAAUUAAAUAAUUAAAAAAAUUAAAAUAAAGUAAAUACCACAUUCUGGUAGAAAAGUAAAUAAGACUGCACCUGCAUGGGUGUCUGUUUUAUGGAGAAAGGUACACUGAGAAGAACAAACUAAAAAGUACAGUGGCUUUUGGAAUUGCUGUAAAGAUAAAACCAUGCCAUUACGUACAGAACCCCACAAAUAUAAAUAUAAUUAUCUUUGACUAUGUGGAUUAUGCCUAAAAAUGGAUUGUUUUUUACUGCUUUUUUCCCCAAAUACAACAUAGAAAGGAAAUUUAAAAAUAUAAUUGUUUGAAGUGUGCAGUGUGUACUUUGCAUUCAAAGAAAUAUGGCAACUCUGUGCCCUUGAGUAAGUCAAUUAACUUCUCUAGUUGCAGUUUUCUCUUCUGCAAAACCAGGGAUUGGACUGUGUAUCUCUUAGAUUUAUUCAGGUUACAGUAUUGAAUACUUUGACCCAUUUUAUAAAACUUACCACAUCUUAAUUUAUCAACCUAAAGUUACAUAUUUGUUUGUGUGUUCUUUCUAAAGUUAUUUCACACCAUUGGUUGUUGCACUUGCUUAGUAUUCAGGAGGAAUUAAAGAUGGAGGAGAUUGGACAAGAAGCAGGAAUAAAAUAUAAUUUCUGAAGCUCAAAGAGCUAAAAGGUAUUACAGAUAAUACCAUUUUUGAGGAAGAUUUGGGGAUAAGGAAAAUUUUAGUGUCUAUGCGUGUUGUACACAUUUUGUUUGAUAGUUAUUUACUUCUCACAGCAGCUCUGAAAUAGGUAUCAAUAUCCAGUUUAUCCUGUUUGUAAAUUGUGGCUCAGUGGAGCCUAAGAUCCAUACAGCUAGGAAGUAAAGCCCUCAUAUGCUCUUUCCAGAUCACAAUGUGAUUUUUGUUUAUGAGGGUGGAAUAGCAAAAGAGAGGUGUGUAUGGGAACACUGAGUAGCGCAUACAAUAAAGAGCUUAAUAUCUAGUUUUCCAUCCAGCUCCAAGAUCAAUACACUUUAUUCACCUUUGAAUUUUUAUUAAAACAUUUCUUACCCAGAACAAAUUAAAAUAAAGUUGAUUCUCCAAGCCCAUGAUUUUCUUUUCUGUGGAAACUUUCAUUUGGCUGUAUAUUAGAUUUGGGUCAUCAUGCUGUACAUAGAAAAAAAAUAAUGUAUUGGGGAAAUAAAAAAAAUUUUUAAAAUGGAAGAUUAGAAAAAUAAAUAAAGUUGAUAAGACCACAUGUAGUGCCAAGAAAGACUUAUGUCUGUUGAUUCUGUACUAUUAAAUGAUAUUAUAAUGUUAAUCAUAAUUCUAAAAUAUUGACUAAAUAAAUAAGGAUCCAAAGCCUUGAGCUAAGGCCAUCAUCAUCUUUUCUCAUAACACAGACAUACUUUCACAAGAAGGAUAGGCACAUAAAAUUUACCCUCUAAGAGAGAUUACCUAAGAAAUUAUUGUUAUUUUGUAGAGUUUGUAUCUCACUUCAAAUCCAUUAAUGAAUAUUGAGGGCUUUGUGUUCAGAUCUAUGAAAUGAAUGCUAGUGUGUAUGCUUAUUCUUAUAAUAACUAAGAAACUAUCAAAUAUGUGUUAUUGGAUUGAAGCAAUGGAAAAAUGAGAAGGAAGAAUGAGUCUAUUUUUAAAAGAAGAAAAAUGCAAUUAAGUCUUUUGGGGUAUAAGAAUUUUCAGAAUUAUUAUAAAUAGAAGGGCCUAUCUCAGCUUGAUUACUUCAAAACAGCUUCCUGCAACCUCCCACCAAGUAGAUGAGCAAUUAGUAUAAUCACAGCAAUAAAUCAAAGACACUUGCUGUUCAAACUUGUGUUGCAGCUUUUCCUUUUGGCAUUGCUCCUAGGCUAUUCCAGUUGAAUACACAUAGACAUGCAUGCAUGGUAUUUAAUAAAAUUUUAUUUGGUAAAAAGCAAAAUGCCUAGGAAUGACUUCUUUUUGUAUCAAGGUUAAAUAAAGGGCACUGAACGAGUAAAGCUGUGCUAAAAAGAACAGUGGCCAACUCAGGGAUAUUCUUAUACUCCAAACAGUCGUACAGAUGGAAGUCUGGCCAACAAAACCAUAAAGCAUCAAGUCUAACUGUGAGUCAAUCUGUCAGUGCAAGUACAAGGUGACUCAGGAAAAGAUUGCAUUUUGUCUUCUGACAAAUACUCAGAGGUUCUAGUACAUUUAUGUGUGUUGGAUAUUGUUGGAAGGAAAGGAUAAAAACGACUUCACAAAUGGGGAGUGAAUUUUUAACAACUGAUUAUUUGCUAAAAAAAAAGAGUUAGUGUAACCCAUUGAAUUGAAUUUUUAAAGAAAUUUUUAAUAGGUGAAUAUCAAAACGAAUUACUCUGUAUCUGCUCAUCUAUUUGAGGUCCUGCUAUAAUAUGUGUAUAUCUUCUGCUACUGAGUUGAUUCACUCAAAAGGUAUUGCUUUGAAGAAGCGCAAAAAAAUAUUUUUUACAGUGCUAAUCAUGUCUUCUUUUUGCUAUGUUAUUAGAAUACCUAAGUUGAAAAGUUGCUUUAAGUUUAAUCUAAAUAUUAAAUUAAUUAUUACUUUAAAUUCCCAAAUUAUUGAUUUGUCUAGAUAACUGAUGCUUGAGUUAUGAUAGCCUUGAUUUUUUUACUGGUUUGGUAGUUCUUAUAAUGACUGUUUCUAAAACCCCUUUUUAAACCUCUAAUUAAAGAAAUUCAGAAACUUAUGGAAAAAUGUCAAUUUUAGCUUUGCAUGAAAUUCUGCUGAGAGGUUAAAGAAUGUGGAAUUUUCCCAUCUAUUAAAAGGCAAACAAUAAGCUCUUUUUGUUAUUGUUUUUCAUUGUGGAUAUGGAUUUUUUUAUGGUCAAAAGGAAUCCGAAUUUUCUGGUUAAAUAAUGUGUAGGAAAAUGUGAAAACAUAUCAGUACUUAGUCUAUGUUCUCAGGAAAUAGUAUUUUAUAUCCCCAAAACAUUUUGCUCACUGAAUACGUGAUUUUAAGAAAAGAGAUUAUUAGUACAUGGAUAAAUAUCAAGCCAU
rnacentral:lncRNA from 1 species